rnacentral:snRNA from 1 species
GUGUUCACUUCAGCCGUACAAGUACUAAAAUUGGAACAAUAUAGCAUGGUCCCUGCACAAUGAUGACACACAAAUUCGUGAAGCAUUCCAUAUUUUU